CCAGAGAACUUUCCAGAGAUGGAUUGGUGCCUUCGGGAACUCUGAGACAGGUGCUGCAUGGCUGUCGUCAGCUCGUGUUGUGAAAUGUUGGGUUAAGUCCCGCAACGAGCGCAACCCUUAUCCUUUGUUGCCAGCGGUUAGGCCGGGAACUCAAAGGAGACUGCCAGUGAUAAACUGGAGGAAGGUGGGGAUGACGUCAAGUCAUCAUGGCCCUUACGAGUAGGGCUACACACGUGCUACAAUGGCGCAUACAAAGAGAAGCGACCUCGCGAGAGCAAGCGGACCUCAUAAAGUGCGUCGUAGUCCGGAUUGGAGUCUGCAACUCGACUCCAUGAAGUCGGAAUCGCUAGUAAUCGUGGAUCAGAAUGCCACGGUGAAUACGUUCCCGGGCCUUGUACACACCGCCCGUCACACCAUGGGAGUGGGUUGCAAAAGAAGUAGGUAGCUUAACCUUCGGGAGGGCGCUUACCACUUUGUGAUUCAUGACUGGGGUGAAGUCGUAACAAGGUAAGCGUAGAUGA
rnacentral:rRNA from 1 species